GAUGAACGCUGGCGGCGUGCCUAAUACAUGCAAGUCGAGCGAACAGAUGAGGAGCUUGCUCCUCUGACGUUAGCGGCGGACGGGUGAGUAACACGUGGAUAACCUACCUAUAAGACUGGGAUAACUUCGGGAAACCGGAGCUAAUACCGGAUAAUAUAUUGAACCGCAUGGUUCAAUAGUGAAAGACGGUUUUGCUGUCACUUAUAGAGGGAUCCCGGCCGCAUUAGGUAGUUGGGAAGGUAACGGCUUACCAAGGCAACGAGGCGUUACCGACCGGAGAGAGUGAUCGCCCACCUUGGAGCUUGGACGCGGUCCAGACUCCUGCGGGACGGCGCAGUAGGCAAUCUUCGGCAAUGGGGGAAAGCCUGACGGAGCAACGCCGAGUGAGUGAUAGCGGUCUUCGGAUCGUAAAGCUCUGUUAUUAGGGAAAAACAAAUGUGUAAGUAACUAUGCACGUCUUGACGGUACCUAGUCAGAAAGCAACGGCUAACUACGUG
rnacentral:rRNA from 1 species